rnacentral:misc_RNA from 1 species
AAGAGUUGCAAAACUCCCACAAACCAUCGCGAAUCGUUACCCAGUACGGUGCUCGGGCUGGCGGUCGGAAGGCCUCGGGCCCGGAUCUCGGUCUCCCGCUCGGGGAGGGCCGGACGGCGAAACUAAACUCUUGCUAUCUUAUUGUCCUCUCUGAGUAUACUUUUUAAACUAAGUCA